UAAGUCUUGUUUGUAUUGUGGCACUUACAUAACAUGGAUUUUAUUUAGUCUUUGAUGUAGUCUUGAUAUCUUAAGGAUAGUUAGCUUAUCAUAAAAUCAUAAUGUGUCUUUGGACAAUUAUAUGUUUUAUAUCUAUUGGAAAAAAAAUCGAAUAUAAAUUUGGAGCUUUGUAUGCACAAGUACAGGAAUUCAUUUUUCUGAUUAAAAAAUUAUAAAGAAAUGUGUUACCUUGUUUAAUUAUAUCUCCCUUGUUUGUAUGAAUUUCUUGUUUUUAUGUUCAUCAGUGUCAGGAAAUCAGGAGUGCCCCCUGCAGAAAAGUAUUGUUGCCCUUCGAAAAUAAUUUCGCAAGGAAAAAAUGAACAGCAAAGCUUUCUUCCACCAAUGUUCUCUAGAAGAAGUUAUUCAGAACCCAGGAAAACAAAAUCCAGCUUUUGGUUCAAAUUGAAGGUGGUGAUAUUUCCCUUUUCCUCUAGAAUUUUGAAAUUGGUUUCUGUUGAUUAACUAGAGCAUUGGAGAAAGCUUCAGCCUUUUCCUGCCCAUAGGGGAUCUUGCCAUUGAUCAGACUACUUUCAUUACUGAGUUGUGAGUUUUUUAUUAAAGGAGUGGAAGGAAAAGAUACAUCCAUUGGGAUGGAAAAGAAAGGAAAGAAUUUGUUGUGUCCAUU